rnacentral:ncRNA from 2 species
UAGGGAAACUCCGGUGUAAGUCCGGGGCUGUGCGGCAACUGUCAAGGUUGAAAUGGCACGCUCUUUAAGGUUUGUAGUCGAUGCUUCAGUGUUUAUGGCGAAGACAGCGCAACGACGAACCUCGCUGACGUUCCACCUAAGCCAGAAUACCU